GCCAUCAUAGCUCAGUGGCAGAGCACUGGUCUCGUAAACCAGGGGUCGUGAGUUCGGACUUCCCUGGUGGCU